GAGGAAGAGGGUAAUCCGGAUGAGUUUUCUGACCUACUCGGCGGCUGUGAUUAAACAACCACCAGGAAAUUUUGACGACACUGUUCUCCUGAGCUCCUCCCUUUCCUCCGGGAACAAAACAAUUGAAUUUACAAAAAUAAAGUGUUAUUUGACUGGAGUGAGGUCUCAUGUCUGCUUAUGCGGUGGCUCGCUGCUCAGAACAGGGUCUGAUGGACAGGAAAUGGUAAGGUUUCUGAAAACCUAAGGAUCACACAGCGAGUUCCAAAGGCUGAAAGUGCAUACCUGUCGACACUGAUACCAAUGACAUCCAAUGGAGGAAGAGGGUAAUCUGGAAGAGUUUCCUGACCUACUCUGCUGCUGUGAUUAAACAACCACCAGGAAAUUUUGAUGACACUGUUCUCCUGAGCUCCUCCCUUUCCUCGGGGAAGAAAAGCAUUGAAACUACAAAAAUAAAGUGUUAUUUGGCUGGAGUGAGGUCUCAUGUCUGCUUAUGCGGUGGCUCGCUGCUCAGAACAGGGAACCAUUGGAGAUACUCAUUACUCUUUGAAGGCUUACAGUGGAAUGAAUUCAAAUACGACUUAUUUGAGGAAUUGAAGUUGACUUUAUGGAGCUGAUAAGAAUCUUCUUGGAGAAAAAAAGACUGGGUAUAUUUUCAAUAUGCUUUCCUUUUAAGGUCCCUCACCUGUGGAAAGUAAAGAAUGUCACUUUCUGACAGGCUCAGGAACCUCAAGUUAUGUAGGGAUCUCAAGAAGAUGGGGGAAUUCACCCAGUUCAUACAGGUGAAAUUGCUGUUGCAAAGAUUAUGAAUAUGAGAGAAGUCCAGCAUGGCUGACUUCAUCUCGUGUCUGGCCUCAGGCUGGCUGCCCUUGCUCACUCUUGGGCAUAGGCCAAGCUAGCCAUGGGAGGAAUUUAGUUUAUAGUUUAACUUUGAAGCACGGAUGAUAAUAGUCUCUCCCUAAAAUGAACCCCUUCCUUGCUCAGGGACUGAAACUACCUUUGUAUGACAAAUGAAAGCCCACAAGAUUAAGAUUAUGAGAGGGGCCUGAAUUCUGCUAAAAUGCAGGUGUAGCUGACUGAUAACAAGUCAUUGUCCCACAGCUUGCCUUUCUAUAAUCUCUUGCUUCUCAGGAGUCACAUGGCCAGAGGUCCUGAGAUUUCCAGUCCUGUGACCCCCACCCAGAGAUGGACUUAGUGCAUGAGGACCAUUUUCCACACCCCUAUGAUUUCAUCCUCAAACAAUCAGCAGCAACCAUUCCCUAGCCCCCUGCCUUCCAAAUUAUCCAUAAAAAUCCUAGCCUCUGAGUUAUUAGGGAGAUUGAUUAAUAAUCCCAGUCCUACCCCUUGGGUUGCUCUGAUUUAAUUAAACCUUCUCUACUGCAAUACCACGGACUCAGUAAAUUGGUUUUGUCUGUGCAAUGGGCAAGAAGAACAUGUUGCAUGGUUAUACAGGUACUACAAGCACAGUCUGAUGGCAAAUUAUUGGUUUUGCUUCCUGCCCUUGAUGUUUCUAAACAUCUAGUCCAAAAUUACUUGUGAAAGGUCCAGCAAAGCCAAUUUUAAAAGAGGCUAUAUGGCCAAUCACUAUUCUUUCUACACAUUAUUGCAAAUAAUCAGGCCACGGCUGGGCACGGUGGCUCAUGCCUGCAAUCCCAGCACUUUGGGAGGCUGAGGCAGGAUCACCUGAAAUCAGGAGUUCAAGACCAGCCUAGGCAACAUGAUAAAACCCUGUCUCUACUAAAAAUACAAAAUUAGCCAGGCAUGGUGGCAUGCACCUGUAAUCCCAGCUACUUGGGAGACUGAGGGAGGAGAAUCACUUGAACCUGGGAGGCAGAGAUUGCAGUGAGCUGAGAUCACACCACUGCACUCCAGCCUGGGCAAUAGAGUGAGACUUUGUCUCAAAUAAUAAUAAUAAUAAUCAGACCAAGUAUAAUGAAAUUAAAAUUUAUUUUGCAAAUAAAUUGGUCCUACUACAAUUUAUCCUUCAUAGAAAUGUGGAAACUGAAGAUAAAAAAAAUUAGGUUUCAGAAGAAAACUAUACUACACCUGUUAUUAGAUUCUAGCCCUAAACAUUGUUUUUGAGGUUUUUAUUAUUUACCUGCAAUUUGGUCUAAAUUCUGAAUUAUUUCCUGACUACAAGUAUCCAAGGAAUAAAUGGGUUUUCUUUUUCUUUAUGAUAGUUUUAGUUGGCUUCUAAUGCAACAACAAUUUUUAUUGUAAUCCUGUGUGCAUUCUAUUCCUACUAUUCAAAUUAUUAAUGUUAUAGAUCUUUCAUUGUAGUACUUCUGAAUUAACCAAAAUCACAGUAUUCUGAAGAUGAUUCUACAAAGCCUGCUGUUUCUACAAAGGCUGCUGAUGAUUUCUACAAAGCCUGCUGUAGUGUUGCUGUGGCCUCUGCUUAAAAAAGUAGAAAACACAUUGAUGCAGCAUGUUCACCCCAACCUCCCUGCCUAAAGGCUCAGGGACCAUCUUGGAAGAGGAAGGCGCGUGAGAUUGUAAGAGCCGAAUUAGGGGGAUGGAGUGUGGAGAAUAAGGACACUUCAUCUUGGAUGCUCACCUGCCAAAUUGACUUCUGAUGAAAGCCAGCUCCAGAAAUGUGCCUACAGUUACUACUUUCACCUAAACCCUGCCCUUAGUCAAAUCCUUCUCUUCUUCUAAGCAAUCAACUUCAAUUCCUUGUAUAACCCACAGUAUAAAAGGGCUUUUAUACCAUUCUAUCCUAUUGCAUGUAAGCCUUGGGUCUGGGAGGUAACAGUGUGGGAUUCCACCAUCUCAUCUCCCUGCCACCCAAACAUGCCUGCUCUUCUUUAAGCAAUAUUAAAUGUUUGUACUUCAGAAAUUUGAUUUGUCAGCCUCUUCUUCAGACUCUCAGCUUCUUUGGCCUUUGGGAGUAAAUUUGCAUAGGCCUGCUCAAAACAGGAUGUUCUGGGGGUUUGGGGGUGUUGUUUUGUUUUGUUUUUUGUUUUGUUUAGAGACAGGGUCUCACUCUGUCACCCAGGUUGGAGUGCAGUGGUGCAAUCAUGGCACACUGCAGCCUCAAACUCCUAGGCUCAAGCAAUCCCCCCACCUUGGCCUCCCAAAGUUCUGGGAUUACAAGCAUAAGCCACCAUGCCCAGCCCUGGACUUUUC
rnacentral:lncRNA from 10 species